CACGAACGCUGGCGGCAGGCUUAACACAUGCAAGUCGAGCGCCCCGCAAGGGGAGCGGCAGACGGGUGAGUAACGCGUGGGAAUCUACCCAUCUCUACGGAAUAACGCAUGGAAACGUGUGCUAAUACCGUAUACGUCCUUCGGGAGAAAGAUUUAUCGGAGAUGGAUGAGCCCGCGUUGGAUUAGCUAGUUGGUGGGGUAAAGGCCUACCAAGGCGACGAUCCAUAGAUGGUCUGAGAGGAUGAUCAGCCACACUGGGACUGAGACACGGCCCAGACUCCUACGGGAGGCAGCAGUGGGGAAUAUUUGACAAUGGGCGCAAGCCUGAUCCAGCCAUGCCGCGUGAGUGAUGAAGGCCCUAGGGUUGUAAAGCUCUUUCACCGGUGAAGAUAAUGACGGUAACCGGAGAAGAAGCCCCGGCUAACUUCGUGCCAGCCGCCGCCGUAAAAC
rnacentral:rRNA from 1 species